GAAUUAAAAACAAGAGGCCCAAGGGCCUUGAAUCGCUCUUCUGAUAAAUUAUACAAUCUAUCCUAAGACCCAAGAUGCAUCAACUGACAAAGUUUGAUGAUUCUUAGCCAGUUAGGGCUGAAGAUAUUUAAAUGUAACUAUAAAAUACUAUAAGUAGGUCAUGGUGACCUACUUUUUGAUUGAAAUUUUCUGAGGACACAAGAUGCAUUAAUUGACAUAGAUUGAUGAUUCUAAGUCAAUAAGUACUUGAGAUAUUCAAAAGUGGGUCACAGUGACCUACUUUUUGGUCAACAUUCUCCAAAAUCCCAAGGUGCAUAAACUCACAACGUUUGACAAUUCUAAGCCAAUAAGUACCCUAGAAUACUUAAAUAUAGCCAUAAAUGUCACAAGUAGGUCACCGUGACCUAUAUUUUGAUCAUCAUUCUCUGAGAACCCAAGAUGCAUCAAAUAACAAAAUUUGGUGAUUCUAAAACUCUCGGUGUCUGAAAUAAUGGGAUUAAAUGUUUUAGAAAAGAUUAGCCAUAAAAUUCAAAAAGUAGGUCACGAUGACCUACUUUUAAGUUGAUGUUAUUUGUGGACCCAAGAUGCACCAACUGACAAAGUUUUAUGAUCAUAGGCCUUAAAGUGUCCAAAAUAUGCCUCCAAUUCAAUUUGAAAACAAAAGCCCGUAAAAUUUAAAAAGUAGGUCACCGUGACCUACUUUUGUAUUAACAUGAUGUCAAGUCCUGUGAUGCAUCAACUUACAAGAUUUGAUGAUCCUAGUCUUUAUAGUAAGCAAAAUAUCAACGUUUUUAAUAAGUGUAAAUUUUGGUCAACUUUGAAGUGACCUUGAGACCACGCCCUUUGCCCCAGGGUCAUGCCGUGAACAAUUUUCAAUUUUCAACAUAUCCCGACCCUUGUAUGUAAGUUUGGUGAAAAUCUGCCUGGUGGUUCUGGAGAAGAAGAUUUUUUAGCAACCAGUACUUUUGGUUUUAUUUUCGUGAUUAUCUCCAUUUGUUUUAUGGUCCCACCCCUAAUUUUAGUAUAAAUGGUAGCCCUUGGGCCAAGGAUACCCUGUGACAAAUUUGACAAUAAUUGGCCGAGGGGUUCUUGAGUUAUGGCCCAUAUUCUAAAAAGUUAGCGCACGACGCACACCGCACAAAUGGCCAUAGCAUUAGCUCUUUGAGCCUUUGGCUCAGAAGAGCUA